rnacentral:piRNA from 1 species
UGGUGAAAGCAGAAAGGGUGUGUGCU